GACGAACGCUGGCGGCGCGCCUAACACAUGCAAGUCGAACGGAGCGCACGAGAAGAUCCCUUCGGGGUGAUUUUUGUGUUGCUUAGUGGCGAACGGGUGAGUAACACGUGAGCAACCUACCUUAAAGUGGGGGACAACAUUUGGAAACAGAUGCUAAUACCGCAUAAGACCACAGCACCACAUGGUGCAGCGGCCAAAGGAGCAAUCCGCUUUUAGAGGGGCUCGCGCCCGAUUAGCUAGUUGGUGAGGUAACGGCCCACCAAGGCAACGAUCGGUAGCCGGACUGAGAGGUUGAACGGCCACAUUGGGACUGAGACACGGCCCAGACUCCUACGGGAGGCAGCAGUGGGGAAUAUUGCACAAUGGACGAAAGUCUGAUGCAGCGACGCCGCGUGAGGGAAGAAGGUUUUCGGAUUGUAAACCUCUGUCUUUGGGGACGAAGAAGUGACGGUACCCAAGGAGGAAGCCACGGCUAACUACGUGCCAGCAGCCGCCGUAAAAC
rnacentral:rRNA from 1 species